rnacentral:misc_RNA from 1 species
GAUGAAGAACGCAGCGAAAUGCGAUAAGUAAUGUGAAUUGCAGAAUUCAGUGAAUCAUCGAAUCUUUGAACGCACCUUGCGCCUUUUGGUAUUCCGAAAGGCACACCUGUUUGAGCGUCAUGAAUACCUCAAUCUCCAUCUUUUCUUCGGAUUGAUGGGUGACUUGGAUGUUGAGCCCUGCUGGUAUGCUAUAUCAGCUGGCUUUAAACUUAUUAGCCGGCUCUGUACUGGAUCGGUUUGACUCGACGUGAUAAUAUUAUCGUUGAGGAUGCAUGUCUCAUGCAGCCGGAAAGUAUGAAAGCAGCUUCUAGCUUGCCUUUAGUGCACUUUUACAUUUUAGACCUCAGAUCAGGUGGGACUACCCGCUGAACUUAAGCAUAUCAAUAAGCGGAGGA